GUGAGGAAUAUUGGUCAAUGGGCGAGAGCCUGAACCAGCCAAGUCGCGUGAAGGAAGACGGCCCUACGGGUUGUAAACUUCUUUUGCAAUGGAAUAAAAAGAGUUACGUGUAAUUCAUUGUAUGUACAUUGCGAAUAAGGAUCGGCUAACUCCGUGCCAGCAGCCGCGGUAAUACGGAGGAUCCGAGCGUUAUCCGGAUUUAUUGGGUUUAAAGGGUGCGUAGGCGGAUUGGAAAGUCAGCGGUGAAAGUUUGCAGCUUAACUGUAAAAUUGCCAUUGAAACUGUCAGUCUUGAGUGCAAAUGAGGUAGGCGGAAUGUGUUGUGUAGCGGUGAAAUGCAUAGAUAUCACGCAGAACUCCGAUUGCGAAGGCAGCUUACUAAGCUACAACUGACACUGAAGCACGAAAGCGUGGGGAUCAAACAGGAUUAGAAACCCCAGUAGUCC
rnacentral:rRNA from 1 species